rnacentral:rRNA from 1 species
UACGUAGGUGGCGAGCGUUGUCCGGAAUUACUGGGUGUAAAGGGCGUGUAGGCGGGUUAUUAAGUCAGAUGUGAAAUUCCAGGGCUCAACUCUGGCGCUGCAUCUGAAACUGGUAAUCUUGAGUGCUGGAGAGGAAAGCGGAAUUCCUAGUGUAGCGGUGAAAUGCGUAGAUAUUAGGAGGAACACCAGUGGCGAAGGCGGCUUUCUGGACAGUAACUGACGCUGAGGCGCGAAAGCGUGGGGAGCAAACAGG